AAAAAAAUGGACUUUAUUCUCUUGGUGGUAUAUUCAGAGUUUAAAAAUCUCAGAGCUGCUCCUGUAUCUGCACAGAUAGAAACUGGAGAUGUUAAUUUUUUGUCAUUUGGCUUCUAGAUGUCCUUGGCGUGUGCACCCCUGUGGAAUCCAGUUCAUCUCCAAUCUGUCAGGAAGUAUCAGAGGUGGUUUUGACUCCUUAUGUCCUGGGCCUGUGCACAAAAUGUGUGCAGCUGCCCACAAAGUUGCCAGCCAUGAGUGCCACAGAAACAGAGUGGAGGGAAAUACCAGAGAGAAAGGCUUUUUCCCAACUCAGAAUUUCACUUGUGCCAAGAAUUACACAGACUCUCAUGAAGACAUUCCAGCAGUUUCUGUCUUGUGCCAGUCUUCAUAUGGGAUGUGGACACCCUAGAGCAUAUCUGGGGUGGAAGACAAUUGUGGAAACAGCCAUCUAGUUAGGAUAUUUGUGUCAAAUAUCUUCCAGAUAUGUUUUCCACAAAGUCAUAGUAGAUUUUAUUCCAAUAAAUCCAGUAUUUUUUUAAAAGAUUUUAUUUAU
rnacentral:lncRNA from 12 species